GAGUUAAAGCGCGCGGGUGCCAGCCGGGAGGUGCGGCUGGAUUCGUUUCGCUGAGGUGCGUCCCCAACCCAAGGGCACGACUGCAGUGGCCAGUUUCCGAGCCCCGCCCGGAGGGGGGCACGCGGUGGGCAUUCCGGUGUUGCAGUGAAACGAAACUUAUUUGCUAAACUUGGCCGAGCCUUAGAAGUUGAAUGCCUGCCUCAGAAAGUUGCCUCGUUCUCUGGGCUGUUUAGUUGGCUUUUUUUAGUUAGAAUAUCGGCAGCGAAAAUGAUAAAUCCCCUAAACCUUGCCGAAGUAAAAACUGGCUGCGUUUUUUUUCCUUGGCUAUGAUCAACUGGGGUGCCUUUGUUUUAAUAAUAGUCUUUUAUUAUUAUUUUAAAAAGCAGUGCUAAGUAUAUUAAUUUAGGAUAGACUUGGAAAAGAAAAGAUGAAAUUGCGCUGUCUCUGCCUAGAGAAAAACCCUGACCAUGUUGUCGUGUGUGUUUCAUUCAAUCUUUUUGUUGAGUAUAUCUGUUUUAUGAGUGCUGUACUGAUUGCAUAGGAGGUACCUGUGUUUAAAAAGCAUUUACUGAAUGAUGAUUACAAGCAAGGAGAUGUAUCAGAAGAUCCACAGAUAAUCGGAAGCUUGUCAUUGGAUCUGGAGAGAGCUGGUCCCAUGGAGGAAAAAAAGACAGGUACACACAGAUGUGUGUGAUGCCACAUUAAGAGAGAUCCCGGAUUUGGGAUCUGCAGGCUUCAAGAGGUCAUCUUCAGCUAUACGGAGAAGUUGAAGUCAGCAGCGGCUCUCCUACCUCUUGGAACCUCAGGCCAUUUUGCAAAACUUAAUAGAUCACCCUCCUUUAGAUUUAUUAGAAACCUCCAAGAAAAGGAAAUAUGGCAGCUGGUACUAAAGCAGCAGCUUUAUGUUACAUCUUUCAAACUAUAGUGCAAAUGAUGUGAUUCUGAUAAAACCUACCUCCAUCCUACCCCUCCCCUAAACCUGUUGAGAAUCCCUGACUAGGAGGAAACACUGAGCGGUUUGCUAAGGCGGAUUGCCCCUGCUAUGCAUGCUGCCCAUAGAUGGAGUGGACUUCUUUCGAGAAGCCCAGCUCCCUGACUCUGACGUGUCCAAGGAGGCUGCCAAGUGACAAAACACCUGGCAUGGGAGCCUGAGUCCUGGGUUCCCAGAGGGGCCAGGCCCCCAGAGCACACCAGUUUGGA
rnacentral:lncRNA from 1 species